AUUGAACGCUGGCGGCAGGCCUAACACAUGCAAGUCGAGCGGAUGAAGGGAGCUUGCUCCUAGAUUCAGCGGCGGACGGGUGAGUAAUGCCUAGGAAUCUGCCUGGUAGUGGGGGAUAACGUCCGGAAACGGGCGCUAAUACCGCAUACGUCCUGAGGGAGAAAGUGGGGGAUCUUCGGACCUCACGCUAUCAGAUGAGCCUAGGUCGGAUUAGCUAGUUGGUGGGGUAAAGGCCUACCAAGGCGACGAUCCGUAACUGGUCUGAGAGGAUGAUCAGUCACACUGGAACUGAGACACGGUCCAGACUCCUACGGGAGGCAGCAGUGGGGAAUAUUGGACAAUGGGCGAAAGCCUGAUCCAGCCAUGCCGCGUGUGUGAAGAAGGUCUUCGGAUUGUAAAGCACUUUAAGUCGGGAGGAAGGGCAGUAAGUUAAUACCUUGCUGUUUUGACGUUACCAACAGAAUAAGCACCGGCUAACUUCGUG
rnacentral:rRNA from 1 species